rnacentral:rRNA from 1 species
CGCCCGAUCUCGUCUGAUCUCGGAAGCUAAGCAGGGACGGGCUUGGUUAGUACCUGGAUGGGAGACCGCCUCCGAAUUCCAGGUGUUGUAGGCU